CCCCCCCCCCCCUUGGCGCCGCCACUGUUUCGGCUAUUGCAAAUGUGACAGCCAAAUAAAAACUCAUGUGCUUGUACAGACAGAUAAAUAACGUGGUAAUUUGGGGUAUUAAUUGAUAUUUUUAAUAAGUUAAUUUUGUAAUUUUUUAUGUGUAAUCGAUUCCUUUUACUAAAUGGUAGUAAACCAUUUAAUUUGCAAAUUAAAAAUUAAUUUAGUUUUGCCUAAAAUAACUACGACCUCUAUAUGAUUAACAGCAAUUGCACUUGAUUGUAAAAUUAAUUAGUUACUACCACUUUUGUAAUAUGUCAAUAUUAUAUAUUUAGUAUAUUUUGUGUUCAAUGUAUAGACACCACGGUAAGACUUUUUUAAAUGUGUUUAUAUGUUUAUUACAUCAACAAACGAUGUUUCGGUAGAUAAGAUUACAAUUACCGUGGUCUAUGCGUUGAACACAAAAUAUAUAAUUAUUAACACGAGGCUUAGAGGAAGUUCGUUCUUAAACACUUAUAUAUUUGCUGUUCAACUCAGUUUUCUAUGUUUCUGUGUUAACCAAUGGACGUCUUAUGCUUUAGAAAAAUUUUUAAUCUGGGAAUAACAAAGGAUCUUUUCUGAAGGAAGUUAUCAAAAUUAGAAAAACUGCAAAGUUUGGUUGCGAAAUGAUGUAAAAUACGGAAAAUAUAGCCCUGCGAAGUUCGCAAAUUUGCAUACAUUUGUAUUACGUAUUUACGUGCGGAAAUUGGUAACUAAUUUAGUUACCAAAUCACGCACGUAAUACAGAAGUAUACAAAUUUGCCAACUUUGAAGGGCUAUAUUUCCGUAUUUUACAACAUUUCGCAACCAAACUUUUGUAAUAUUACUAAUUCCAAGACGCUCUUUCCAGCUGUGGUGAUAGAUUUCGUUGUUCUUACAUAGAUUAAAAUUUAGUCUAAAGCGCAAGUCGUCCAUUGAGCGCCAGUAGUCUUUCCUUGACGAAUAAAAUUGUCUGGCAUUAGAGGGAGUAAAUCAAUAAAGUAGGGCACAUUAGGGCGCGAUGCAACUUGAUAAGUUUAGAUAAUUGUCGAGGGUCAUAAUAGGUCAAGGGUUGAAAGUCCAGCUGUCUAGGGUCGAAAGUCGAAAAUACUAG